CCUACGGGAGGCAGCAGUGGGGAAUAUUGCACAAUGGGGGAAACCCUGAUGCAGCGACGCCGCGUGAGUGAAGAAGUAUUUCGGUACGUAAAGCUCUAUCAGCAGGGAAGAAAAACCGGCCUUAGGGCCGCCAGACGGUACCUGACUAAGAAGCCCCGGCUAACUACGUACCAGCAGCCGCGGUAAGACGUAGGGGGCAAGCGUUAUCCGGAUUUACUGGGUGUAAAGGGAGCGUAGACGGCAGCGUAAGUCUGGAGUGAAAUGCCCGGGCCCAACCCCGGAACUGCUUUGGAAACUGUGUAGCUGGAGUGCAGGAGAGGUAAGCGGAAGUCCUAGUGUAGCGGGGAAAUGCGUAGAUAUUAGGAGGAACACCAGUGGCGAAGGCGGCUUACUGGACUGUAACUGACGUUGAGGCUCGAAAGCGUGGGGAGCAAACAGGAUUAGAUACCCGUGUAGUC
rnacentral:rRNA from 1 species